UAACACUUUUAUUCUAACACUUUAGAUUAGAAUAAAAUUAAAAUUAAAUGCCAUUAAAUGCCAUUCAAAACUAAAAAAAUUUAGCAUGUAAAAAUAAAGAGGUAAUGUAAAAAAAGUGUUUUUGUGUUCAUCUACAUCAGUAAGAUAGAUAAGCUAUCGAUUGUAAGUACAGAAGACGACCCAUAGAUUCAUAUUGAUGAAUAAUGUUUGUUAUUCUGUUGUUCUCUUAGCCAGUGUUGCAUAUUUCUUCCUUGGGCGUUCUUCGGUGCCGCCGCUAGCCUGUAAAACCGAUGCCUUCUGCAACUGACUAUCCUUUCGUAGACCAUUGAAAAAUGUCCACAUAGUUGGAUGGUGGCAUGAAAAUAGAGAUUGGAGGGCGUGAUGCCAACCCUCCACAGCGUUAUUCGUUCGCGCAACAACACCGAUUACGGCCAGUACCAAGCAGCAAGAGUUAGCCCAUGCAACCUGUUAUGGUUGUUGUCUUACUUUAAAAAAUUACAAAGAUGAGAGCAACAGAGCGG
rnacentral:sRNA from 1 species